UACGUAGGGGGCAAGCGUUGUCCGGAUUCAUUGGGCGUAAAGAGCUCGUAGGCGGUUCAGUAAGUCGGGUGUGAAAGCUCCGAGCUCAACUCGGAGAGGCCACCCGAUACUGCUGUGACUUGAGUCCAGUUAGAGGAGCGUGGAAUUCCUGGUGUAGCGGUGAAAUGCGCAGAUAUCAGGAGGAACACCAGCAGCGAAGGCGGCGCUCUGGGCUGGAACUGACGCUGAGGAGCGAAAGCGUGGGUAGCAAACAGG
rnacentral:rRNA from 1 species